rnacentral:rRNA from 1 species
GACGAACGCUGGGCGGCGUGCCUAAUACAUGCAAGUCGAACGCUUCUUUCCUCCCGAGUGCUUGCACUCAACUGGAAAGAGGAGUGGCGGACGGGUGAGUAACACGUGGGUAACCUACCCAUCAGAGGGGGAUAACACUUGGAAACAGGUGCUAAUACCGCAUAACAGUUUAUGCCGCAUGGCAUAAGAGUGAAAGGCGUUUUCGGGUGUCGCUGAUGGAUGGACCCGCGGUGCAUUAGCCAGUUGGUGAGGUAACGGCUCACCAAGGCCACGAUGCAUAGCCGACCUGAGAGGGUGAUCGGCCACACUGGGACUGAGACACGGCCCAGACUCCUACGGGAGGCAGCAGUAGGGAAUCUUCGGCAAUGGACGAAAGUCUGACCGAGCAACGCCGCGUGAGUGAAGAAGGUUUUCGGAUCGUAAAACUCUGUUGUUAGAGAAGAACAAGGACGUUAGUAACUGAACGUCCCCUGACGGUAUCUAACCAGAAAGCCACGGCUAACUACGUGCCAGCAGCCGCGGUAAUACGUAGGUGGCAAGCGUUGUCCGGAUUUAUUGGGCGUAAAGCGAGCGCAGGCGGUUUCUUAAGUCUGAUGUGAAAGCCCCCGGCUCAACCGGGGAGGGUCAUUGGAAACUGGGAGACUUGAGUGCAGAAGAGGAGAGUGGAAUUCCAUGUGUAGCGGUGAAAUGCGUAGAUAUAUGGAGGAACACCAGUGGCGAAGGCGGCUCUCUGGUCUGUAACUGACGCUGAGGCUCGAAAGCGUG